ACUUUUAAAGGAUAACAGUCUUCCACUGGUCUUAGGAGCCAAAACUCUUGGUGCAACUCCAAGUAAAAGUA
rnacentral:tRNA from 1 species